UACGAAGGGGGCUAGCGUUGCUCGGAAUCACUGGGCGUAAAGCGCACGUAGGCGGAUCCUUAAGUCGGGGGUGAAAUCCUGGAGCUCAACUCCAGAACUGCCUUUGAUACUGGGAAGCUCGAGUCCGGGAGAGGUGAGUGGAACUCCGAGUGUAGAGGUGAAAUUCGUAGAUAUUCGGAAGAACACCAGUGGCGAAGGCGGCUCACUGGCCCGGUACUGACGCUGAGGUGCGAAAGCGUGGGGAGCAAACAGG
rnacentral:rRNA from 1 species